UACAGCCAUAUCACGUUGAAACAGCGGUUCUCUUACGAUCAUCACAGUUAAGCAUCAUCGAGCCUGGUCAGUACCUUAAUGGGUAACCGCUUGUGUAUACUAUGUGCCGUAA